GGCCGGUUCGGAGAGAAGUCGGUUCGAUUGUGCGCCGCCGCAGGGAUUUAAGUUCGCUUCUCGGAACUUCCGCUCCUGUUGUUCGACGGUUCUCUCUCCGGGGCUUUCUCUCCAUCUCUCGCUCGCUUGCUCGCCAUCGAUCAAUUGGCCGAUCGCACAAAUCUGUUAUUUGUGAGGAUAGUUAAAAAACAUGACAACUGCAGCUCGACCCACAUGGGCACCUGCAAAAGGUGGUAGUGAACAAGGUGGGACUCGAAUUUUUGGCCCUUCCCAAAAGUACUCUUCAAGGGAUAUUGCCUCUCAUACGACCCUGAAGCCCAGAAAGGAAGGGCAAGACACCCAUGAUGAAUUGCAGAAGAGGAAUCUCCGUGAGGAGUUGGAGGAGAGGGAGCGGAGGCAUUUUUCAUCAAAGGAUAAGUCUUAUAUUGAAGAGAGGGAUCGUAGAAAAGGAGGCCAUCUUCUACUGGAAGGGGCAAGGAGAGAUGCUGAAGAUCGUAUUGUUCCUCGCAGUGUAGAUGCUGAUGAUGCUGAUGUGGAAGUUAAAAGUGACAAUGGAAGUGAUGAUGAUGACGAUGACGAAGAUGAGGAUGACACAGAUGCCCUUUUGGCCGAGCUUGAACAAAUAAAGAAGGAAAGAGCAGAAGAAAAGCUCCGUCAAGAAAGGCAAAAGCAAGAGGAAGAGCUCAAGGCAAAAGAAGCAGAAUUGAUACGGGGAAACCCUCUUCUCAACAAUCCAACUUCUUUUAAUGUGAAGAGGAGGUGGGAUGAUGAUGUGGUGUUCAAAAACCAAGCUCGUGGUGAAGCCAAGGCUCCCAAGCGCUUCAUUAAUGAUACCAUCAGGAACGACUUCCACCGGAAAUUUCUCCAGAAAUACAUGAAGUAACUCCCAUUAUCGAAGCUUAAAGAGAGAGGACCUGUAAUGCUGUGAAAUCUAUGGAAGGCCAUUGUCUCUCUCUAUUCUCUAACUUGUAUGUUUCAAAAUGUUGAGGAUGAUUCGGGCAAGUAAGAACUUGGUCAAGGAUGGAGUUCAAGUUGGGAUCCUGUUAGCUUUUAUGACCUAUUUCUGUUGUGCAAAUGUUUGCUUCAUCUUAGAACUUUCUGUGAAUAAGAACGACGAAGAAGAUGCAACCAGCUGCAUUGCCGAGGCUUCCUUAAAAGUUCCGAGGGAUUUGAUUCAAUCGACUUGAGUUCUCAAGCGCAAGAACCUCCCUGCUUUGCAAUGAUCAAGAGGGAGCCACUUUGAUAUUGCUUUUCGUAAAAAGUGUUGUUUUUCACUACUGUUUUCUUGAUUUUUAGAUCACAAAGGAUUGACUGAGUAAUCUUACUAGGCAUCGCAAGUGAGUUCUCAACAGCCGGCAUUUGCUUGUAGGCUAAUCGGGUCCCAUUUAUAGAUAUCAGCGAUUAAUCUCUCAAAUUAA